UACAGGGGGGGCAAGCGUUGUUCGGAAUUACUGGGCGUAAAGGGCUCGUAGGCGGUCCAUCGCGUCGGGAGUGAAAAGCUGGGGCUCAACCCCAGUCCUGCUUUCGAUACGGGUGGACUAGAGGUAGGCAGGGGAGAACGGAAUUCCUGGUGUAGCGGUGAAAUGCGCAGAUAUCAGGAGGAACACCGAUGGCGAAGGCAGGUCUCUGGGCCACUACUGACGCUGAGAAGCGAAAGCAUGGGGAGCGAACAGG
rnacentral:rRNA from 1 species